rnacentral:rRNA from 1 species
UUAAAUUGAAGAGUUUGAUCAUGGCUCAGAUUGAACGCUGGCGGCAGGCCUAACACAUGCAAGUCGAACGGUAACAGGAAGCAGCUUGCUGCUUUGCUGACGAGUGGCGGACGGGUGAGUAAUGUCUGGGAAACUGCCUGAUGGAGGGGGAUAACUACUGGAAACGGUGGCUAAUACCGCAUAACGUCGCAAGACCAAAGAGGGGGACCUUCGGGCCUCUUGCCAUCAGAUGUGCCCAGAUGGGAUUAGCUUGUUGGUGAGGUAACGGCUCACCAAGGCGACGAUCCCUAGCUGGUCUGAGAGGAUGACCAGCCACACUGGAACUGAGACACGGUCCAGACUCCUACGGGAGGCAGCAGUGGGGAAUAUUGCACAAUGGGCGCAAGCCUGAUGCAGCCAUGCCGCGUGUAUGAAGAAGGCCUUCGGGUUGUAAAGUACUUUCAGCGGGGAGGAAGGUGUUGUGGUUAAUAACCGCAGCAAUUGACGUUACCCGCAGAAGAAGCACCGGCUAACUCCGUGCCAGCAGCCGCGGUAAUACGGAGGGUGCAAGCGUUAAUCGGAAUUACUGGGCGUAAAGCGCACGCAGGCGGUCUGUCAAGUCGGAUGUGAAAUCCCCGGGCUCAACCUGGGAACUGCAUUCGAAACUGGCAGGCUUGAGUCUUGUAGAGGGGGGUAGAAUUCCAGGUGUAGCGGUGAAAUGCGUAGAGAUCUGGAGGAAUACCGGUGGCGAAGGCGGCCCCCUGGACAAAGACUGACGCUCAGGUGCGAAAGCGUGGGGAGCAAACAGGAUUAGAUACCCUGGUAGUCCACGCCGUAAACGAUGUCUACUUGGAGGUUGUGCCCUUGAGGCGUGGCUUCCGGAGCUAACGCGUUAAGUAGACCGCCUGGGGAGUACGGCCGCAAGGUUAAAACUCAAAUGAAUUGACGGGGGCCCGCACAAGCGGUGGAGCAUGUGGUUUAAUUCGAUGCAACGCGAAGAACCUUACCUGGUCUUGACAUACACAGAACUUUCCAGAGAUGGAUUGGUGCCUUCGGGAACUGUGAGACAGGUGCUGCAUGGCUGUCGUCAGCUCGUGUUGUGAAAUGUUGGGUUAAGUCCCGCAACGAGCGCAACCCUUAUCCUUUGUUGCCAGCGAUUAGGUCGGGAACUCAAAGGAGACUGCCAGUGAUAAACUGGAGGAAGGUGGGGAUGACGUCAAGUCAUCAUGGCCCUUACGACCAGGGCUACACACGUGCUACAAUGGCGCAUACAAAGAGAAGCGACCUCGCGAGAGCAAGCGGACCUCAUAAAGUGCGUCGUAGUCCGGAUUGGAGUCUGCAACUCGACUCCAUGAAGUCGGAAUCGCUAGUAAUCGUGGAUCAGAAUGCCACGGUGAAUACGUUCCCGGGCCUUGUACACACCGCCCGUCACACCAUGGGAGUGGGUUGCAAAAGAAGUAGGUAGCUUAACCUUCGGGAGGGCGCUUACCACUUUGUGAUUCAUGACUGGGGUGAAGUCGUAACAAGGUAACCGUAGGGGAACCUGCGGUUGGAUCACCUCCUUACCUUAAAGAA